UCAAAACCAUCAUGAAAAUGCCUUUAUUUUAUCACAAAGAUCGCUUUUCUACUUAAAAAAUUCGCAUAUUUUCUUCCCCACACAGAUAUACACAGAUCACGGUUUGAUGUUGUUAUUAUUGAUUUAACAGCUAUAUUCUUCGUAAAUCCCAAAGAAAUUCUUUGGGAUUUAAGAUGAUGCACCAUUCGAGUAAAACACCCAACACUAAUACCUGCUUACAUUUUAAUAUUUUUUCUCAAAUACAAAAGCUCCUGUACUGGUUUAUUGUUAUUUUUUACAGAGAAUGUUUCUCUGAAGAGCAUUAUUUGAUUUGUCAGAAUGGUCUGUUUGUGCUCGAAGCACUGAUGGGUACCGAUUGGACUGCAAAUGUCAAUGCUCGAUCAUGUGUUUUUUAUACACUUCCUCAAAAGGCUAAUGAAAGAAAACCGUAAUUGUCCGUGAACUGGGCCUGCCAGGGAAUUGAACAGGCGACUUGUUUUAGGGUUUUGUGCCAUUGGACAUGAGCUGUGAACAGGGUGGAUGGGUUUUAACAUUGGUUUAUCAUGUGGGUCAAAGUUGAAACGAGUAACAGGGGCUUUGAGAUGAAGAGGAGCAUUGCUGAUUGAUGUUGGUGUGCAAUAAAUGGGGUUUGUGUAAGGAUUAUUGUCCAGUUUAGGGUUGGUUUGGCUAAAUUCUGGUCAAUUAUUUGCUGCUAAAGUUCCCUUUCACAUGAGAAACACAGAGGUUUAAGGCCUAUGGAUCCUCUACAUGUUUUGUUUGCUGACAUUUAUCAAUCAAUUCAUGAAAUUGUGACACUGAAUGGAAAGAUUGGGGCAGAUCAUUCAAAUUGCCAAUGUCUGGUUGAACAAUUGAAGCUUUUGAAGCCUUUGCUGGAUGAUGUUAAGGACUCAAAGACAGCUUUGACGGGAUCAGUCGUCAGGGUAUUUGAAGAACUAUGUGCUGCUUUGAAGAAGGCUCGGGAACUUAUAGAGAGAUGUAGUGCAAAAGGAAGUAAAGUUUAUAGGGUACUUCGCAGCCAGCAGUAUAUCGCCAAAUUUCGAAAUGUUUCUUUGGAUAUCUAUCGAGUCCUGAAUUCAUUGCCUCUCUCUUCUCUACAUAUUCCAGACCAGAUACAGCUUCAGGUUGAAAUUUGUGCUGAGGAAUUGCGAAGGCUAAGAUAUACAUGUGAAUCUUUAGAUGAGCAAACUUUGGAAGAGGUUGAGUCUGUUCUGAGAGAUCACAGAGAGGGUCUUAAGAUAAGUUGUGAGAAACUACAAUGGAUUGCAGAUAGAUUCAAUUUGAUAUCAAAUCAAGAGGUAUUGAAGGAAGCAUCUGCUUUGGAGAAAGAAAAGGAGUAUGUUCGCCUUGAAAAUGACAAGCAAGAAGAAGAAUACAUUAAUGAUGUUAUUGGUGUUAUCACACAAAUAUGUGAUUACCUAGUUGAAGUCAAGCAAUGCCAAACAGAAGGAGUAGUGCCAAUUCCUGCAGAUUUUCGGUGCCCUCUUUCACUAGAACUGAUGUCAGAUCCAGUAAUUGUAGCUUCUGGGCAAACAUAUGAGCGAGCUUAUAUUCAGCAAUGGCUUGAUCAGGGCAUGACAACAUGCCCUAAAACACGUCAGACCCUUAGUCAUACUAAUCUGAUUCCCAACUACACUGUAAAGGCAUUGAUUGCAAAUUGGUGUGAGUCAAAUAAUGUGCCCUUACCUGAACCAGCCAAGCUUCCAACAUGCACUAUGCUUCAAAGCCAAACCUUUCAAAUGGCUACUAAAAAGAAGGAAUUGGAUGAUAUACAUUUUUCUUCAACUAGAGAUGAAAAUGCAGCUGGAAACUUGAGAAUUUCAAAUUCACAGCCUACAUUGAGGAAUUUUACAUCUUCUAUGGAAGACCGUGUUUCUCAAAAAGAAAACAUGGGGCUUGUUUCAAGCAGUGAAAACCAAGAAGGCUUGAGCACAGUAAGUGGACCACUGAGUGACACUGAGCAAGAAUCACCUUCAAUGAAAGGGACUCUCAAUGGUAAUCAUGGCUGUGAACAAUUGCCUGAGCAAAGCCGAAAGGCAUCCAUUUCGAGUGUUACUUCAAGUCUGGAUGAUAGGCAGGAGCUGGCAGUUGGAGGUACUAAUGCUUUGGAGGGUCUAAAAGCAUCAAGUGAUGGUUCCCAGUUUAGCAGUGAUAUUUCAGGAGAGCUAAAAUUGGCAACAUCAGUGAAAGGUCCUCAAAAUAAAGAAAAUAGAGAUACAGAAACUUCAAACAGAAUAUCUGAGAGAUCUGUAUCGAGUGGCUUGCCUUUAUGGAACCGGCGAAUUGAAGAUCGGAGCUCCAUGCCUAGGAUAAUUUCUUCAAUGUCAGAUACAAGGGCUGACAGUCCAAAUAUUGUACUGAAAAUUGAAAAAUUGGUGGAUGAUCUAGAGUCAGAUAUAAUUGAAGUGCAAAGAGUAGCAGCAGCAGAAUUACGUCUCCUUGCUAAGUACAAUAUGGAAAACAGGAUCAUAAUUGCAAAUUGCAGAGCUACUAGGCCUUUGGUUGCACUAUUACAUUGUUCUGAUAUGGAGACCCAAGACAAUGCUGUUACUGCAUUACUGAAUUUAUCCAUUAAUGACAACAAUAAGAUUGAGAUUGUUGCUGCUGGUGCUAUUGAUCCACUGAUAUAUGUACUUAAAACAGGAAGUCCUGAAGCAAGAGAGAAUGCUGCUGCGACAUUAUUUAGUCUUUCAGUUAUGGAAGAAAACAAAACAAUUAUUGGUCAAUCAGGAGCCAUCCCACCUUUGGUGGAUCUGCUUAGGGAUGGUACACCUCGGGGGAAGAAGGAUGCUGCCACUGCUUUGUUUAAUCUGUCUAUUUAUCAUGAGAACAAGGCUCGCAUAGUACGGGCUGGGGCAAUACAAUCUCUUGUCGAAUUGAUGGACCCUGCUGCUGGAAUGGUAGAUAAGGCUGUUGCUGUCUUGGCUAAUCUUUCAACUAUUCCUGAAGGUCGCUUUGCUAUUGGUGAGCAGGGAGGCAUUCCUGCUCUGGUGGAGGUAGUGGAGCUAGGCUCUCAGAGAGGAAAAGAAAAUGCUGCAGCAGCACUUCUGCAACUCUGUACAAAUAGCAAUAGGUUUCGAGCUUUGGUUUUGCAAGAAGGUGCAAUUCCACCGUUGGUUUCUUUGGCACAAUCUGGUACACCACGAGCAAAGGAGAAGGCCCAAGCACUUCUUCGCCAUUUUAGGGAUCAGAGACAUGCAGUUAUAGGAAGGGGUGGUCCUGAUAGACAGCUGGAUCGACAUUUUGAUCGCUUAUAAGGCUUCUGUUCACGUUUGAAGCUUUUGAAUUGUGAUUGCAGCUCUUCCUGCCUUUUGAUGGAACCAUUCAAACAAAACGUUUCUGAGAUGUGGCAACUUUUCCUGCUUGAUAGGGGUUACUCAGAUGCCAAUCUGUGAGAGCCUCAUCUUUUCUUGGGAAUGCAUUGUAAGCUGCCAUCUUGGAUCUGUUAAUGUUAAAGUGCUUCAUAUUUGUGUUAUUCAUAUAUUUGGAGAAAGCUUUUGGUAGGGCUAGCAUUUUCGUAAACUUAAGAUUAUUACAAAGUCAGUUCAUUUGGUUAAAUGUUGUGUCCAGAUUCUGAAGUGGCAUUCAAAUCUUGUCAUUGAUAGAAAUGAUAAACUUGAAUAAGCUGGCACAAGAAUUGUUGAACUUGAGAUGCAAUUAUUUGUACAUGAUAAUAAAAACUCCAUACAUUUUGAAAGAAACAAUACAAUGUGAAUAAUUUUAUGGAGAAUUGUUUACCUGCG